UGGGUAAAGGUGCCUGUGGUUCAGAUGACGUUGCUGUAUUCGGUCCAGGCCCGGGGCCCUCCAACUCAUCAUCCGGUCACCGCCUUGCCUGCCUGAGGGAUGGGAGGUGCGCAGCCUCUCCUGUGUCACCAGGCCUGUGUCACCAAGCCUACUGGCCACACUGUGGUCCCAGAAUAAGCCCAGGAGGAAGGCUGCACUGUUUUGGAAAAGGAGGGGGAGGACAAAAAAAAAGAAAAAAAUGAUAAAAACUCCACGAGGACAAGGACGCGCCUUCUCACCAGCGUGUGUGGGACCAGCACAGAGCCGCGAGCACAGCAGCCCUGCCGUGUGUAUUUGUCGGAUGAGUGAAGGAAUGAAUGAAUGAACCAAAAACUUCCGCCUGAAAGGAGGAGAGAAGGCCCAGGAGAGACGCAUGGCAACUCCGAGCCUGCCAGCUGUGACACAGCUGGGUUCAUUUUGAAACCAGCGGCAGCAGCCAGCCCAUACUGAGCCUCCACGGCCAGGGCACCCGGCUGCCAGGCCUGGGGCAGCUCUGCCCUUCCUGUCAAGGUUCUGUGCAGCGUGGGCAGGGCACGGACCCCCGGGCGGCAGAUGGGGGCCAACACCCUUGGGACGGAUGGACACUCAGGACCCAGGAGACCUGCACUUUAUCCUAAAGGCAUCCUGGCAAUUCAGGGGCAGAGCCUGGAAUCAGACCCGUCAGUCCUGCCCAUAAAGUCCCUGAUGGGCUCAUGGAUUGAAGCAAUGAUCUGGUUUUCAGAGCAAUGGUCCCAGUUCCAGUUGAGCCGCACAAAGAUGACCCGCAGGCUCAAAGUUUCAGGGCCUGGCCACUGAGAAAGCCUCCCGGCUCUGCAGCCCGGCCUCCCCUGCUCUCCUCCGAGACCCCAAGGCGGAUUCAGUGACAGUGAGACUGACUGAGGGAAAGAAAAAGGGACAGGACAGAAAGACAUGUAAAAAAUGGGGACCCCGUGAGGCAGGGGACCUCUGAAGGCUGGUCCACUGCUGUGUCUUUUAUCCUGGUUCUACACACAAGCAUCUGUAAGCGCUGUUUGCACCCCUGGCUUUGCCUUCAAACCAGGACUUCUGGGGAAACACAGGGCCCAGCCCUUGAAGGCUCCCAGCCCACCGAUGAUGCCAGGUGGGGAAACCGCAGCGCAACCCACCUCUGUGUGGCACAGAGGCACCCACCGGACUGUCACCACCCCGGGGUCUGCAGCUCCUCCAAGGAGAUGGAAGGGGGCAGUGGGCAGUCCCAGCCUCCAGUGGCCAAUUCCUCUCCUUUGCCUCUAACUUUCUGAUUCUGCUGGGUUGAAGUUUAUGAGAAAAUGGAUCCAGCCAUUUCUAGGGGAAAGAAGUGAGGAGCUGGUAUUGAAAUCACCCUUCAAUAUGACCCCAUUCUGUUCCCGGGUCACACAAAGUACUGUUGAAAAGCCUCCUUCCCCCUUAUAGGUGGCCCUUUGGAGCCGAGGCAGAAGUUACUCUGCUGCCUUGUGGGCAUGACGAAGCAUAACGCAGCAGAGAAGACCCGAGAUGCCAGGACCCGCUCGUGUGGGCUGUAUCCCACCACCAUGCUCUCCAAAGGGCCAUUUGGCUCCAAUGUAUCAUAUGACUUGUUCUUAGAGUUACAUUUUAACUGACAAAGUUUAACAACAACUAUGACUUAUGGCCUUCUAAAAUUGGCAGCAGAAAAAUGAACUGAGGAAGUAAUGGAAAAAACCACAAGUGAAGCCACUCUGUAUUAUGCACAAUUUCUGUUGUGUUUUUUCUUCCUUUCCAAGCAUGUGUGUGUGUGUGUGUGUGUGUGUGUGUGUGUGUGUGUGUGUGUGUGUUUUCGAAUGGUAGAAAAUAUUUUCCAGAUACGCUGCCCUGGCUUUCCCAAGCACAUAUUUAUGCCAAGUUUAUAAAAAGCAGCUGCAGACAGGGUUGACCGAAAGGAUUGCUCUGCUGUCUGGCUUCCAGAAGGUGCUUAGGUCCUCAGCCUGUCAACAGGACACAGACUUACUGCCUAAAACUCACCUUCUGCGUCGUGCACCUGAAAGAGGACAAAGCCACGGCGCGGCGUGACCUGGAGGGACAUGGGGCCCCUGCCGUUCUAGGUGUUCACAUCCCACUUUUGAUUUGCAAGGUGCUUUAGUGACCUGUGCUUUAUCAUUUUUAGUCAUUCGAAAUCCCCACGCAGACACAAAAAGAAAGUGUUCGGAGGCGCAUCUCACAAACGUCUGGGUGGCUCAGGGGUGGGCGGCGCAGCGAUGGGAAGGCCCAUCAGCUUCACUUUCUGAACCGUCCAGAGCAGAUGGUGGAGCCGCGUGGCUGAGCCCGUGUUAAACCGUCUGCAUCUACUCGCGUUGGCCUGAGACUCCAAUCCCCUCCCCUAGCCCCUGGGUGGGCGAAGCUGCCCAGUGAGAAGCUCCAGCCUCCUCUGCACCGUGGAGGGACAUCACCCUGGGACACCCUGAGCCACUGCCCGCCUGCGCCCAAAUCCAGACUCUCACUGGCCCGGGGACGGGGCGUCCACUUGCCUUCCUCCGCCCCACCGGCCUUAAUGAGGAUGAUAAUACCUAGCUCUGUGGCUUUCCUGGGGGUGACUAACUGGUUAAUCCUGGGAAGGCCCUUUGAAGGUGGCAAGCAGGGUAUUACUCAUGGGCUUGAAGGCAGGCACCUGCCCCAGUCUGGGCCUGAGUCAGCAGAGAGACCUCCCUCCUGCAGGCAGACUAGGCGCGCUGGCCCGAGUCCCUGCUCAAGGUCAGGGCUGGCCAAGGGGAGGGGUGUGGCCAGCACGCCUCCAUGGCCUGUGCCAUGUGGGCCCGGAGUUUGGGAACCGUGUGUCAUGGGCGUUUGCGUGGUUGAAUAAGCCUCCAAAUGACUCCGCCAAAAGGGCAGCGUUACCUCCAGAAUUAUCAGUCGAGACAGUAUUUCCUGGUCAUUGUUAGGGGAAAAUGCUUUUCUCACAGCAAAUUCCUCCCAAGCGAUGCCGUUUUUCUCCUUCCUCUGGAGGAAGGCGGGCUGGGGUGGUAGUUGGGCAGCCUGGGAGACCUGAGGUCAGGGUGCCAGGACCAGUGACGGCUAUGCUGUCUCGUCUCCAGCCCCUGGUCUGCCCAGUCUGCUCCCCGCUCACAUCUCCCAGGAAGAGGAAGUGGUAGCAAGAACUGGGAACCAGAGGCCAAAACCAGUGGGUGAAGGCGAGGGUCGCUCGGGACCACACGGUGGAGGGGGAUUCUGACACGGCGGCAGCUGGAAAGCCAAGAACAGAAAGCCUUUAAGCAGCGCGACCUGAUGCCAAGAUUCCGCGCCCAGAGCCCCCGCUUCCCGCGCUCCACACAUUCCUCCCCCCUCCCUCUCUCCCUCCCAGCACCUUCUCCCAGUGACCCCUCUCCGCGCAGCCUCUGUGCACGCAGCACUAGUUUCUUCUUUCUUCUAGAACACAGGUCAUGCGGCCAGAAGGACUGCAGGCACUUCUGCUUUCUCUUUUAGUUCCCCAGGUCCCUGUAAGUUUUUCACGGCCCUUUCUCCUUCCGUAGGCCGCCUGGAACCCUAGAGGCCUCCACAACACACAGAAUGACAAAGAUCCGAAAAGAGGAUGGAAGGAUGGGACCCUGAGGGCGGGAAAGAGGGCAGAGGGGCUACUCAUCUUUGCAGGCAGUCAGGAAUGGAUGGGGUGCAGGGGGGAGGUGCAGAGCAGAGGGAACAGGCUAUGAAAUGAUCUUCUUCUGUUCUGUUUUGAAGGAGGUGGGUGGAAAUGACAGUUUGGAGAGGAUUAGAAUGAGGGAAAAUGGUUUCAGGGGAAGCAGCCUCUUUUCUCCAGUUCUAACAGUGCCACCAAGUGGCUUGUGCAAGCAGGUGCAGGGCAGAGCCUCCGGACAGCCCACGCUGACCCCGUGGAGAGAGGAGCAAUGGGGCUUUGCAAAGGGCACCCUGCUGAUUGCCAGGGGCCAGCCUCUCGCCUCUCAGCCGCAUAGCCAAACACCUUUCCCUAGAUCGGCCGGCAAGGAGGUGGGGGAGGUAGCUACCCAAGUGUACCCUUAGUCACCCCAAUGCAUACGGCGACCAAGUUCACCAGGUUCCUGAUUCAUUUGGCCUCUGCCCACACACACUUGCAUCACUGGGAGGAAUUAGGACAGAAGUCAUGGUCCCACGAGAGGCACAGAAGUACAUUUCCAACCAGAGAAGUGGUCAGUGACCAGAGCAAGCCUGUCUGGGCCAUUAGACCCUUGUCUAUGUUCAAAGGAGAGCUGAGGGCUGAAGGGUGCUGGGUGAGACUAGGCAAGGUGAGCACACCUGGGGAAGCCUGGCCAGCAUCCCUCAAGCUAAACUUCCGGCCAGGGACACAAGUCUUCUGGCAUUUCACUUAACUGUAGUUGCAUUCUUUUUUUAACUCUGCAAAUCAAAAUCAAUUCGCCUUGGAACUCCACAAGUUGUUUUUCUUUCUAAAGAGAGACAUUUUACUGAAACGGAAGACUUUGCCAGCAGUUGUGUAUUUGGUACCUGGAACCGAGCAGCAGAUGGGGCAAGGCUCAGGGAGAACAUCCCCCCAGGAGUCCAGGCGCCUGAUGCUCGUCAAGCCCUAACACUAAGCUGCUGUGUACCUCUGAGGAGCCACGCCACACAGCCUGUGGGAUCUUAGUUCCCUGACCAGGGAUCAAACCCGCGCCCCCUGCAUCGGCAGCACGGAGUCUUAGCCACUGGCCCGCCAGGGAAGUCCCCGUCAUAGACACUUUGGGGGCACCUGCCCAGACCACGGCUCUCAUGAUGGUCCACCCCGCCAGCAGAGCUGAGGCCCUAACACUCUGUACUUCAUGACUGCAGACCCGGAUGAGGACUGACUGCACAGAGACGGACACCUGCUCCUGGCUUGACAGAAGCUCAGGAUUACUUGGGGCACAGUACAGGUCAGAAUCUUGCUACUCAAAGCCUGGAACUGGGAGCUUGGCCUCACCUGGGAACUUAUUAAAAGGAGACUCCCAAGCCCCAUCCCAACUUAAUGAAUAAGAAUCUGCAUUUUAACACGGGCCCAGAGAUUCGUGCUUGCAUUUAAAGUUUGAGGAGCUCCGACUCAGAAGUGCUGGUCCACUAACUGACACGCAGCUUCGGUAGAGUUUUCACUGGUCCACAUGAAAAUCCCAGGGACCCGAAAGCCUGGGAACAACUAGUAGAAGUCAGAAGCGUGUCUUGCUGAUUUCUGCGCCGUCUAAAGCAGAACUGGAAAGCACUAUUUGUUCCACGUGAAGAUGAGAGGUACAGCAGUGCUUGCCUUUCUUUCAUAGUCUUGGAAACUCCAAGGAGUGCCCCCUCUGUAAGGAGCAUCACACGCUGCUCGCACAUAGACCCGGGAAGGCAGCAGGCUGGCUUGCACUUCCAGAUUCCAGGUGGCCUUCCAGAUUCCAGAUCCCACCGGAGCCCAGGCUCGCCCACCCCCCGUGCACCCCGGGACCCCCCGCACGUCC